AACGCACAUUGCGCCCCCUGGCAUUCCGGGGGGCAUGCCUGUUCGAGCGUCAUUAUCAACCAUCAAGCUCUGGCUUGGUGUUGGAGGCCCGGCCGGACCCCUCUGGGGACGGCCGCUCCCAAAGAGAACGGCGGCGCCCAGGGAGUCCCGGUGCAAUGAGCUCUUCGAGCACGCACCGCGGGCGCCUCUGGACGCCGGCCUCACACUUCUUUUUACCAAGGUUGACCUCGGAUCAGGUAGGGAUACCCGCUGAACUUAA
rnacentral:misc_RNA from 1 species